CCUACGGGUGGCUGCAGUAAGGAAUCUUCCACAAUGGACGAAAGUCUGAUGGAGCAACGCCGCGUGCAGGAUGAAUGCCUUCGGGUUGUAAACUGCUUUUCUGAAGGAAGAUUAUGACGGUACUUCAGGAAUAAGGACCGGCUAACUACGUGCCAGCAGCCGCGGUAAUACGUAGGGUCCAAGCGUUAACCGGAAUCACUGGGCGUAAAGCGUGCGUAGGCGGAUGUUUAAGUGCAACGCGAAAUCCUGUGGCUCAACCAUAUGGACUGUGUUGC
rnacentral:rRNA from 1 species